UUAUUUAAUUUAUUGUGCCCUUAAAGACACGAGUGGAGCAAUAACCGAAUGAGUAAAAUAAUAUGCUUAAUCUAUCCUUAAAAGGCACUAAAUUCACCUAAAAGGCACUAUAACAUGCAUAAUAGGCAUAUA